UACGGGGGGGGCAAGCGUUGGUUCGGAAUUACUGGGCGUAAAGGGUUCGUAGGUGGCUUGUUAAGUCAGACGGUGAAAUCCCUCGGCUCAACCGGGGAACUGCGUCUGAGACCGAUGAGCUCGAGUGCAGGAGAGGAACGCGGAAUUCCAGGUGUAGCGGUGAAAUGCGUAGAUAUCUGGAGGAACACCGGUGGCGAAGGCGGCGUUCUGGACUGCAACUGACACUGAGGAACGAAAGCCAGGGGAGCAAACGGG
rnacentral:rRNA from 1 species